rnacentral:ncRNA from 1 species
GCCGAUUGAUGCAUGUGUCUUUAUUGCCUUUCCCGCACAAGUGUACAAUCUGAACCUCUUUUAAUAGUUCAUCUAGAUUAUGACGAACAGCGUCAUUUAGAGCCUUUGAACCUGUACUUCCACCCAUUACCAUAAUGACUGGUUUUUGUUUAUGAAAACCACAGAAAGACAGGC